AUUAGUGGUUUUUGAUUCGAGUCGGCUGCUGUUAAAAAGGAUUUCCAAACGUUCAAACUAGUUUCAUUAAAAAAAAAACUUCAAAGAGAACACAGCUAUCAACAAUCAUUGUAAGCAGUAUCAAUGGUGGUUGCCAACAAGCUGGCAAAGAACUGCGAACCCGUCGAUAUAAGCAGCGAUGAUGAUUCUCUUAAAACAACCCAAAUGUUUUAACCGCUGUUUGGUUAUUCGUAGCUCGACCCUUCAUUAACAUCUUUUGCGAUUGCGUUUUAAGGUGGGCAAUAAUCUUGAUGAAGGGCGUAGCUCCAACGUGAACUAGAUCAGCUUUUAAAUUUAACACUGUUGUUGACUAUGAGAAGCCACAAGCUUAUAUUUUGUAACAACUGAAUCCUUGAUUUUCGAAACUCGUUUUAUUAUGAAACAUGGGAAACAUGGGACCCUUUCGUGAAUAUUCCUCGGGACUUAUUUUUAUAGAAGAAAAAACCAAAAAAGUUCAAAACGUGUUUUAUUUUGCAGGAUUAUAUGGAUUUAAAAGUUAAUAAACGCGAGUUUCGCAAUCAUUGUUAUUUCAAUUCGAUAUCCAUAGUCACAUCGAACUCUGUCCACCUUUUAAGAUGUGAGGAUUGUACUGACUGAAACUCCCCAAAAGGAUGUUUUCACGUCUGUGAGAAUACAGGAAGCUUUUUUAUAAGAUUUACGAAAAGAGAAGGAACAUUUUUAUACGAAAACGUUGGAAAGGAAAACUGGGGUUAUAUUCUGUAUCGCGUAAAGGAACAAACAUUUUUGUAUGUGCCAACGGUUUGCUGAAUACAACUUGAAAAACGAAUCUAUAGCACAUUUACUUUCAUAUUUCAAAAAAGAAUUAUCAUUUUCGUUUUUUAUAGAAUCUGGCCCUGAUUUAAAAGCUCUUAAGUACUAUCAAAAUAAAGCCUUGUUAUUAAUGAAGACGAACGAUGGAAUUGAUAAUAAGUGAUAUUUUGAAUAUUUUAUUUUAUGUGUCAAAAUAUAUUUUAUGCUCUAUAUUUUUGACGACAGGCAAUAGAAACUUUUAAAUGUAUGAAUGAUGUGAAACACAGUAUACAUGUGAAACAUAUGGAAUCCGACCAUUAGACCAACACUAUAUCGGAUAAUUCGAAGAAAAAGGAAGACUUGUAAUGGAAACAUUAUAUUAAAAGUGGUCUUCAACGAUUUCAGAUGCCAAGUUUGAGGCAAUUGGUUAGAGAUCUAGUUGAGAAUUGUUGCAUCUUUGUUGUGCAAAAAAAAAGUAUACAACAAAAUCUAUGAGCAUAGCACUUAAUUUCUAGCUGCUCCAAGUAUACAAUUGAAUCUCGAUGCUAUCUUCUCAUAAAUUAUAUAAUUGAACCUGAUGAUUCGUUAACAAAAUUUAAAAAAAGAACUAAGUCCCAAGGUACUCAGACAGAAUUUGCAAGAUGUUGGUGGCAUGGAGAACAUAGAAAAUUAUUUUAAGGAAUUGUGUGAUACAUACAGCACCCAAUAUCUAUUUAAUGCUUGAACUGAUGCUACAUUAAGGUCUUCUAUUGCAUGGCCCUUCUGGAUGAAGAAAGAUUUUGCUGGCACAUGUAAGCAAUUUUGGAAUGAUUAUGCAUAGGCAGUUCUAUGUGCCGUGUGUACUCUUCAUUGACAUUGAAAUCGAUGCAAUCUCGCAUCCUACCGUUCUAAUGCUCAAAGUGACAUGGAACGUAGAUGUUGUCUCCAAUUGAUAAGGCAAAUCUGUGCUGGUUAUAUGAGCUACAACAAGGCAAACUAUUUCAAGACUGAAGAGUUAUGUGCGCGUGAACAAUUUGGUUUGGAUAACAAAACACAACGUGAGAAAACGGGAAUACUUGAGAAAAAAAUUGAAAAACUAAACAAACAAAUUUCAUCGGAAGAAACACACUCUUUACAACUACUGUUCAACAGGAAAUAGCUUCAGCUGUCUAAUCCAAUUUUAAAUUCGUUUGUAUUUAAUCCAGUUCCAGAUAGUGUGGAGCAAGUUGUAAUUGAAACCAAAAAUAAACUAUCAUCAUUAUUGUUUUUUCACCUAACCGAAUAUGAUUAUUCGAAAUAAUAUCAUUUUUAAUUCAAAUUGAAAUUUUACUUGUGCGAAACUGACAAUAGGUUUUAAGAUUCUUGAUGUACAAACAUGUUGCGGCUGACAUAUUUUUCGGGUGAAACUUUCAAUAAGGGUGUAUGUUUAAUCGAAAGAUUGUGCGACCAUUUAUAAUUUUACCACAUUUAAAGUAGGAGCUUUCCAAAUGAAAUCUUAUAAAACCAAUAUAUCCAUUGUUGAUUAUUAAAAAACAAAAUUCCUUUUAUUAUUUAA